CCCUAUGGGGUGCAGCAGGCCACAUACGCAGGGGACGUGCCGCCGGGUUUGAGCGUAAGCCGCAAAUCGGGUGGUGUCUGGACGGACAUCGUGGCAGGCGACCAGACUUUCCUUUACACUCCAGGCACGCCCUUUGAGAUCCAGUUCGCCAACAACAAUGGCGCCUAUCGCUUGUUCGCUCAGGCUCUGGAUAACCCGGGCAAGGUUGGCCAGUGGUCCUGGACGGCGGCACCGGCGGCGGUGGGGAGCCGGUUUGGGCUGGCAGCGUGGUGGGAGGCGGACGCCCAUUUCACCUUUGCCAGGGCCUAUGCCUUGCCAAGCCUUGCACCCUCCGUAUCUUUCGCCAUCACGAAUAUCACACUGGCGGGAGAGC
rnacentral:rRNA from 1 species